AUUGAACGCUGGCGGCAGGCCUAACACAUGCAAGUCGAACGGUAACAGGAAACAGCUUGCUGUUUCGCUGACGAGUGGCGGACGGGUGAGUAAUGUCUGGGAAACUGCCUGAUGGAGGGGGAUAACUACUGGAAACGGUAGCUAAUACCGCAUAGCGUCGCAAGACCAAAGAGGGGGACCUUCGGGCCUCUUGCCAUCGGAUGUGCCCAGAUGGGAUUAGCUAGUGGGUGGGGUAACGGCUCACCUAGGCGACGAUCCCUAGCUGGUCUGAGAGGAUGACCAGCCACACUGGAACUGAGACACGGUCCAGACUCCUACGGGAGGCAGCAGUGGGGAAUAUUGCACAAUGGGCGCAAGCCUGAUGCAGCCAUGCCGCGUGUAUGAAGAAGGCCUUCGGGUUGUAAAGUACUUUCAGCGGGGAGGAAGGGAGUAAAGUUAAUACCUUUGCUCAUUGACGUUACCCGCAGAAGAAGCACCGGCUAACUCCGUGCCAGCCGCCGCUGUAA
rnacentral:rRNA from 1 species